rnacentral:rRNA from 1 species
GACGAACGCUGGCGGCGUGCCUAAUACAUGCAAGUCGAACGCUGAAGCUUGGUGCUUGCCCCGAGCGGAUGAGUUGCGAACGGGUGAGUAACGCGUAGGUAACCUGCCUGGUAGCGGGGGAUAACUAUUGGAAACGAUAGCUAAUACCGCAUAAGAGUAGAUGUUGCAUGACAUUUGCUUAAAAGGUGCAAUUGCAUCACUACCAGAUGGACCUGCGUUGUAUUAGCUAGUUGGUGAGGUAACGGCUCACCAAGGCAACGAUACAUAGCCGACCUGAGAGGGUGAUCGGCCACACUGGAACUGAGACACGGCCCAGACUCCUACGGGAGGCAGCAGUGGGGAAUUUUCGGCAAUGGGCGGAAGUCUGACCGAGAAAGGCCGCGUGGGGGAAGAAGGUUUUCGGAUCGUAAAGCUUUGUUUGAAGGGAAGAAGGGUUGUGAGGGGAGAAAGUUCACCCUGGAAGGGUAUUUGACAAGAAGGGGAGGGCUAACUAGGG